rnacentral:lncRNA from 1 species
UCUGUGAUUCGAUCCAAAAUAGGCCGUCUCGAAAACAAAUUCUUCACGGACAGAGUUGAUUCCAAUGAAGCCACUACCGUGUUGAUUUCUCUUGUAAUUUAUGACUCAAAUUGGUAUGUAUUUAUGUUGCUAAAUCCAUGGCCUUGCUUGUUGUUAGGUGCUUGUUGGUUAUGAGUGAAUGCUUGAUGUUUUGGAAUUGGUUGGAUUUGUACUUGAAAUGUUAUGCUAUGGAUUGUCAAUGUAAUGCUUUAUCCCGUGUUUAUGAAGGUUGGUGUUGCAAGUGACUUAUGAGGGGGGAUGCUUUGAAUUGGCUAGCUUUGGAAUUGAAAUAUUGUAAUGUCAUGGUUUUGCUUUAGUCAUGGAAUUUUACACCGGUUUAGCUUGUGAUCCUUGUAAAUUUGAAAUUGUAAUGGUUUAUGGUUACGAAAGUUGUAUGUUUAAAAAUGGUUGUAACAUGAAUUUAUGAUUUAUGGAAAUGUAAUAUAAUUUGGAUGGUUGAAUUGAUUGGUUUUUAUGGUUCAUGUGUUGGAAAUUGAAUGGGAUUAUGAUUGGAAUCAUUAGCUUGAA